rnacentral:lncRNA from 1 species
UAACUUUGAUCCAUAAGAGAGUUGGUAUGGACGCAUUUGGGGUUUAACAAGAUGUUCAUUUUUUAUAAUGGACAUAACACAUCCUGUUAAUAGAAAACAUGUUAUGGCUCAACUCGCAGUGAUUUACCUGAUUUAUAAUGAUAAAUGUUUUUGCGAGCAAAAUUUUUAUAAUGAUAAAUGUUUUUGCGAGGAAAUUGGGAGCUUUUAUUAUGAACACUAUGUUAGAGUACUUGACAAGGGAGAGCAAGCGGACAGGUAAAUCAUGCACUCUAUUUUUUAGCAGCAUUGCCUUGUAAUUUUCUAUUAUCUUCUCUUCUCCCCCUCCCUUGUUGCGAUCGAGGUUGAACAACAAUUCUGAUGAGAG